GUCACCGUGGCGGAAUUGGCAUACGCAACAGGCUGAGAACCUGUGCCUUCACGGGUGUGUGGGUUCGAGUCCCACCGGUGACA
rnacentral:tRNA from 2 species